ACCGUCUACCUCAAAGGUCAUACAACUUUACCUAGAUGGAAGCAGAUCCAGUCAUAUAAUGGACUGUGUUAAUAAACCACAAACAAGUGUGUUCAAGUGGUUACGUUGGUAGACCUCUAAAGAUAGCUAGCUAAAUUAUAUAAAUUAUCUCUAGUUUUAGCUUGAAGGCUACCUGUGGCAACUGUGUCUCCUGCGUCCGUUGAGAUGGGAUCCCCGCGGCCGCCAAUUCUACAACACAAGGGAGGACAUAAUCUUUGCUUCGCACUGCUUUCCACUGUUCUAGUCCUUGCCUCUUCAUUACCCCGCUCAUCAUGACUGUUACUUUGUAAAUUAAUCCUCUCAGUAGUGUGUUCAUCGUCGUCGUCAUCGCCAACUUUGUGAAAUACAACUUUAAUGUCCCCCUGUCUAAGGUGAACGGCCGAUAGAACUCUGUCGUCUAUACUAUUACUGUCCUUCAAAUCCCCCAUUGUAAAAUGCAACUGCAACAGAAAGGAGUGUAGGGGAGACCGGGGAUGGUGGUAACAAGGGACAGUUGUAACACUUGCAAUUCCUCCAAUCAAGAGCGAGGUAGAAUCAUAUGAUUCACUGUGCACAUGCUCAGUUUAGUCCUGAAUCCUCAUGUGAAGAAGCAAGUCACUGUGAUAAACUCUGCAGAUUCUAUUGACAGAAAUCAGAUUUUGAGCAUGCCUAGAUCAUGGAAAAGAAAGACACAGGGGAGUACCUCUCCACACUUUGAAAAUAACGUAAAAUGACGUAACAGAGCAGGGGAAAUCAAUCAGAUCAGUUGCAAAGUUGUAUGGCAUAGGUCAUGUGAUGCUGUGCAGAUUCUGCAAAGAGAGAAAGAAACCACUGGAGAAGGGGUCGAGAGAGCUUGUAAGCUACCGUAGUGGGAACAGGGUCUUCAUUGACGAGCAGGAGCCGAAGUUGUCAGAGUAUCUCUUGAGGGCAGCUGAUUUAUGCCCACUGUGCCCACUGCUAUCCAAGCCACCUCUCCAGCUGCCUCCCAGGCCACCUCUCCAGCUGCCUCCCAGGCCACCUCUCCAGCUGCCUUCCAGGCCACCUCUCCAGCUGCCUUCCAGGCCACCUUUCCAACUGCCUUCCAGGCCACCUUUCCAGCUGCCUUCCAGGCCAACUCUCUAGGCCAGGUGGAAACGCCUGAUUACUCUUCUGAUUUCAACCCAGUUGAUGUACACCCAUUCAAGCACUCAGAAGGCAAAACAAAUGUUGCUCCCCUUAAAAAAAAACAGAUCGAAAGAAGCAAGCCAAAACAAACCACACCGAACAACAACAAAAACUGUCCUGCUUCAGAUACAAAAUACAAAAUAAAGCAGAUUGAACCAGAAGAUUCAGAUUUCUUCAAUGAGGAAAACUUCUGCAUUGUGUGCAUGGAGCACUUUAACAUUUCCAAAUCCAAGGAGGUCUGGUUGCAGUGCUAGGAAUGCAAAUUAUGGAGGCACCAAGCCUGUACCACUGUGACUCUGAUCACACACACACACACACACACACACACCAGAAAUGUUCAGGUGUUUAGUUUAGCCUAGUUGUUGUUUGGUUGAGAAAUACCAUUUAGUGGAGGGUUAAAUAACUUGCCUAGUUAAAUAAAAAUUAACAAAUUUUUAUUUUAUUUAUUUAUAUUUAUUAUUAUUUCUGCCAAACAAAUAUGUUAAACAUGGCAAUGUUGCUCUCAUGGUCUCAAUAAAGGCGUUCAAAAAUUA